rnacentral:piRNA from 1 species
UGCAAUUGCAAGUGACAUUUC